CCUCGAAAAUGGCACAUCUAUUGAAAGAUAGGGUCGCAAAGAGUUAAAUCUAAGGCAAGAUCUUUGAUUUUGUUAUGAUUGUUAACUUGUCGAA
rnacentral:ncRNA from 1 species